UGAGCUUCAAGUAGUGCAUGUGCUCGCUAUUGGAUCUCAAAUCAUCGUUUCUACAGCUUUUACUUCUCUAUCUCUUAGCUGUCACGAAACAUUCUCUUUCACUUCUCUCUCUCUCUGCUAAAAUAAAUCAGAAACAUAUCAACAUUCUUGAACAGAGCCAUAAGUUCUUCAACUGAAUCUUAAAUUAACCCAUCUUCUGUGUUUGUUUGUUGGAUCUUUAAAUGGAUCCAAGAACAAGACUUGACUAUGUUCUGUUUCAACUCACACCCACCAGGACAAGGUAAGUUCUAAACCUCAAAACGCUACUUUAUUUAUUUCUUUCUUUUUUCUUAACCAUGUUUGAUUCUCUGUUUUUAUUUUUGUCUUUUUGCUGUCUGAAGAUGCGAGCUCGUGAUUUUCUCCGGUGGCGAGAACGAGAAGCUUGCUUCCGGGAUUUUUCAACCGUUCGUCACGCAUCUCAAAAGCGUAAGAGAUCAGAUUUCUAAAGGCGGAUACUCCGUCACUCUCCGUCCUUCCUCCGUCAACGGCGGCGUUAAUUGGUUUACCAAAGUGACGCUUCAGAGGUAAAGAAAGCUCUCUCCGUCUUCUAGUAAUCAUUUUGUCUGAGAAUGUACUAAAAAAACUUUUGCUUCUUGGUUUAAAGAUUUGUGCGAUUCGUGACGACUCCGGAGGUUCUUGAGAGGUCCGUGACAUUAGAGAAGGAGAUUGAGCAGAUCGAGGAUUCGAUUCAGUCUAAUGCAGCCGCUAUUUCCGGCGAAGCAGAAGGUAACAUCAUGUUGAUGUUCGGACACAGACACAUGCUUUAUGUUAUUAAAACAUGAACCAGGGAUUUUGCAAUUUGUUGUUUUGACUAAUAUUUUUCCAACGUUCUGUAUAUAGGAAACGAGUUGGGUACUACUCAGAAGUCUACAGCUUUAUUAAAGGUGAUUCUUAUAAAAUGCUUAAAAGCGGAGUUCUUGAUUAAUGUUUCAGUUGGUUAUUGACUCUGUUUGUAUGUAUUAGGCACAAGGUGAAUCUGAUGGCCAAGAAAAUUCUAAGUAAGUUCUAGUAUAGCCUUCCUUUGUUGUUAUUGUCUUGAUCGGUUAUGUGAAGUAGAUUAUUGAUCCUGACAAGCCGUGAAAUGAAUGUAACAGGGUUGGUCUUCAGCGUGUUCUUGAAACCCGCAAAGCUGCUUUGUGCAAAGAGCAAGCCAUGGCUUACGCUAGAGCUUUGGUUGUUGGGUUUGAAUUGGACUACAUGGAUGAUCUCUUGUCCUUCGCAGAUGCUUUUGGAGCUUCGCGUUUAAGGUAACUAACUGAACCAAGAACCAUCCAUGUCCUUGUUUGCAUUUGUAUGAAGAUGGUGAAUAAUCACUUUUGUGUUGCGUUCAGGGAAGCAUGUGUUAACUUUGUGGACUUGUGCAAGAGAAAGAACGAAGAUAGGAUGUGGGUGGACCAGAUCACAGCUAUGCAAGCCUUUCCCAGGCCUGAGCUAUCCUUCAUGGGUGACUCUGGGAUCAUACUCGCUGGGGAAGAGAAUGAUAACGUCAAGCAAGGGAACAACAGCAUGGAUGCAAUGAGCCAGGGUAGCUUUGAGACUAGCCAAGGUCCUCCUCAGAUGCCAAUGCCUUGGCCAAACCAUUAUCCUCCUCAGUACAUGCAAGGACAUGGCUAUCCUCCUUAUAUGUAUCCCGGCCAGCCACCGUAUUUCCCACAAUGGCCUGUAAACAUGGGAGGAGAUGUGGAGACAAGUGAGAAGACUUCCAAGAAGAAAAAGAAGAAGAAGAAGAAGAACAAGAAGAAGUAUGAAUCCUCCGAGGAGCAAAGCGAUGAGUCCGGUGCUGAGACCGUAUCAGAGGACGGAGAUGAAGGGAAGAAAUCAUCUAGAAAAGUUGUUAUACGCAACAUAAACUACAUAACUUCAAAGAGAAACGGAGCCAAGGAUAGCGAUUCCGAUGAGUCUGAAGACGAAGAAGAAGAAGGCUUUGUGGAUGGAGACUCCAUCAAGCAGCAAGUGGAGGAAGCUAUUGGCUCACUGGAGAAACGGCAUAAAUCAACUUCACGCCGUAGUAGGAGGAAGCACAAAAGCCACAGUGAAGAUGAGGAGGAUUCAGGUAGUAAAGAAACCAAAGGGAAUGAUAACUGGGAUGCUUUCCAGAACCUUCUUUUAAAAGACAAAGAUUCAGACCAGGAAACAGCUUCGUGUCCGGUGAACAUGGAGUCAGAAGUUAUGAGCAAGAGAGAGCUGCCUUCGGAUGAUUCUUUCUUGAUUACAAAUGGGAAUGAGGAUUGGGGGAGAGAGAGCAGUGUCAAGAAACUUGAUGCGGGUGAGAAUGUUAGGCUGAUGAGAAGAGAGAACAACUACGACGAUGAGAUGAUGAAUCCAGGGAGAGGAGAUGAGCCAAGAAGCUACUCACAGGCAGAGAUGGCUGUUUAUAAUGGGAAGCUCCGCGCUAGAAACGAGACAGAGGAAGACUGGUUCAUACGUAACCAAGCAGAUACUGAAAGAGAUGUCAAAACCUUUGUAGGAGACGAUUUGCAUGUAACAAAGAGAAGUGUUGAGAGAGAUGUACUGACCGAUGACUCGUUCAUGAUCCAUUCUCGUGUUGAGAGCCAAGUGGAAGAGUCUCGGUUAAGGACAGAGAUCAUGGACUCUGACGUUUAUGGAACCACCAAACAAGAAAACUCCUCUGCACCGGAGAUUAACAACAGACA
rnacentral:lncRNA from 1 species